CUUCAGCGGCAUAGACAUCGUCCCCCACUGUCACAGAGGCAGAGCUGCGGAAAGUAGCCCCCAGAAUUGUACGCCAUCAUCUCCCAAUCGCGCUUCGCCUUCUCUAACAGGGCAAGUGAAGCAUUUAACCCUACUGGCCUUAUCCAUACAAAGAAAA